rnacentral:rRNA from 1 species
AUUGAACGCUGGCGGCAUGCCUUACACAUGCAAGUCGAACGGCAGCAUAGGAGCUUGCUCCUGAUGGCGAGUGGCGAACGGGUGAGUAAUAUAUCGGAACGUGCCCUAGAGUGGGGGAUAACUAGUCGAAAGAUUAGCUAAUACCGCAUACGAUCUACGGAUGAAAGUGGGGGAUCGCAAGACCUCAUGCUCCUGGAGCGGCCGAUAUCUGAUUAGGUAGUUGGCGGGGUAAAGGCUCACCAAGGCGACGAUCCGUAGCUGGUCUGAGAGGACGACCAGCCACACUUGAACUGAGACACGGUCCAGACUCCUACGGGAGGCAGCAGGGGGGAAUUUUGGACAAUGGGCGAAAGCCUGAUCCAGCCAUGCCGCGUGAGUGAAGAAGGCCUUCGGGUUGCAAAGCUCUUUCGGCAGGAACGAAACGGUGGCCCCUAAUACGGGUUGCUAAUGACGGUACCUGAAGAAGAAGCACCGGCUAACUACGUGCCAGCAGCCGCCGUAACAC